rnacentral:rRNA from 1 species
UACGGGGGGGGCAAGCGUUGUUCGGAAUUACUGGGCGUAAAGGGCGCGUAGGCGGACAUCUAAGUCAGGGGUGAAAUCCCAGGGCUCAACCCUGGAAUUGCCUUUGAUACUGGACGUCUCGAGUUCGGGAGAGGUGAGUGGAAUUCCGAGUGUAGAGGUGAAAUUCGUAGAUAUUCGGAGGAACACCAGAAGCGAAGGCGGCUCACUGGCCCGAUACUGACGCUGAGGCGCGAAAGCCAGGGGAGCAAACGGG